rnacentral:rRNA from 1 species
UGGGGAAUAUUGCACAAUGGGCGCAAGCCUGAUGCAGCGACGCCGCGUGGGGGAUGACGGCCUUCGGGUUGUAAACUCCUUUCGCUAGGGACGAAGCUUUUUUUGACGGUACCUAGAUAAGAAGCACCGGCUAACUACGUGCCAGCAGCCGCGGUAAUACGUAGGGUGCGAGCGUUGUCCGGAAUUACUGGGCGUAAAGGGCUCGUAGGUGGUUUGUCGCGUCGUCUGUGAAAUUCCGGGGCUUAACUCCGGGCGUGCAGGCGAUACGGGCAUAACUUGAGUACUGUAGGGGUAACUGGAAUUCCUGGUGUAGCGGUGAAAUGCGCAGAUAUCAGGGGGAACACGGAUGGCGAAGGCAGGUUACUGGGCAGUUACUGACGCUGAGGAGCGAAAGCAUGGGUAGCGAACAGG